GUGAGGAAUAUUGGUCAAUGGGCGAAAGCCUGAACCAGCCAUGUCGCGUGAAGGAUGAAGGUCCUAUGGAUUGUAAACUUCUUUUGCAGGAGGGUAAAGUGAGCUACGUGUAGUUCAUUGCAAGUACCCUGCGAAUAAGCAUCGGCUAACUCCGUGCCAGCAGCCGCGGUAAUACGGAGGAUGCGAGCGUUAUCCGGAUUUAUUGGGUUUAAAGGGUGCGUAGGCGGACUAAUUAGUCAGCGGUGAAAUUUUGCGGCUCAACCGUAAAACUGCCGUGGAAACUGUUAGUCUUGAGUGCGGUAGAGGUAGGCGGAAUGUGUGGUGUAGCGGUGAAAUGCUUAGAUAUCACACAGAACACCGAUUGCGUAGGCAGCUUACUGGAGCGCAACUGACGCUGAGGCACGAAAGCGUGGGGAUCGAACAGGAUUAGAAACCCCGGUAGUCC
rnacentral:rRNA from 1 species